rnacentral:rRNA from 1 species
UGAACGCUGGCGGCGUGCCUCAUACAUGCAAGUCGAGCGAACAGACGAGGAGCUUGCUCCUCUGACGUUAGCGGCGGACGGGUGAGUAACACGUGGAUAACCUACCUAUAAGACUGGGAUAACUUCGGGAAACCGGAGCUAAUACCGGAUAACAUGUUGAACCGCAUGGUUCAACAGUGAAAGACGGUCUUGCUGUCACUUAUAGAUGGAUCCGCGCCGCAUUAGCUAGUUGGUAAGGUAACGGCUUACCAAGGCAACGAUGCGUAGCCGACCUGAGAGGGUGAUCGGCCACACUGGAACUGAGACACGGUCCAGACUCCUACGGGAGGCAGCAGUAGGAAAUCUUCCGCAAUGGGCGAAAGCCUGACGGAGCAACGCCGCGUGAGUGAAGAAGGUCUUCGGAUCGUAAAACUCUGUUAUUAGGGAAGAACAAAUGUGUAAGUAACUAUGCACGUCUUGACGGUACCUAAUCAGAAAGCCACGGCUAACUACGUG